UACGGAGGAUCCGAGCGUUAUCCGGAUUUAUUGGGUUUAAAGGGUGCGUAGGCGGCCUGUUAAGUCAGGGGUGAAAUCUCCAGGCUCAACCUGGAAACUGCCCCUGAUACUAUUAGUCUUGAAUAUUGAUGAGGUGGGCGGAACGGGUCAUGUAGCGGUGAAAUGCUUAGAGAUGACCCGGAACACCAAUUGCGAAGGCAGCUCACUGGGCAAUUAUUGACGCUGAGGCACGAAAGCGUGGGGAUCAAACAGG
rnacentral:rRNA from 1 species